rnacentral:misc_RNA from 1 species
UUAAGUUCAGCGGGUAGUCCUACCUGAUUUGAGGUCAAACACUUCAUUGUCAUUCAUUGUAAGCGGACCGAGACCUUGGGCCGACGGCGCAACACGAUUAUAUCACGCCGAUGCCGCAGGGUCAAAGAUGACUCCGCUGCUGCAUUUAAAGAGGAGCCGACCCGAAGGCGGGGGGCCAGCACGCUCCAAACUCCAAGCUU